UUUUUUUGUUUUUUGGAAUGACCUUAUUCAUUCAGGGCAUUUUGGCACACAUUAAGGUUAUGUUUAGUUGUGUGUUGGAUUGACUGAACUUUAUUAUGCUGGUAACUAAAUUGGAACGCGGUACUUCAAAUUGUUUAUGUUUGUUUUGAAUUGUGAUGAAUUUGUUUCAGUUGUUUGGGCAAACCUUUGCUUGGUCAGGCAAAAUAUUUUUUUGUGGGGAUUAAGUGAUG
rnacentral:lncRNA from 1 species